rnacentral:rRNA from 1 species
GACGAACGCUGGCGGCGUGCUUAACACAUGCAAGUCGAACGGAAAGGCCCUGCAUUUGUGGGGUGCUCGAGUGGCGAACGGGUGAGUAACACGUGAGUAACCUGCCCUUGACUUUGGGAUAACUUCAGGAAACUGGGGCUAAUACCGGAUAGGAGCUCCUGCUGCAUGUUGGGGGUUGGAAAGUUUCUGCGGUUGGGGAUGGACUCGCGGCUGAUCAGCUUGUUGGUGGGGUAGUGGCUUACCAAGUCUUUGACGGGUAGCCGGCCUGAGAGGGUGACCGGCCACAUUGGGACUGAGAUACGGCCCAGACUCCUACGGGAGGCAGCAGUGGGGAAUAUUGCACAAUGGGCGGAAGCCUGAUGCAGCAACGCCGCGUGCGGGAUGACGGCCUUCGGGUUGUAAACCGCUUUCGCCUGUGACGAAGCGUGAGUGACGGUAAUGGGUAAAGAAGCACCGGCUAACUACGUG